AUGGAAAUGAGCAGCUAGCUCAGUGGGUUUCUAGCCUGAGAGGGUUCCAAAAGGCAGCCCAGCUCUAGAAUUUCAAUGGUCUGGGACCUGGCUGCUAAGCCACCUUCUAAGUAUUCAGCAAAAAGAGAAGACUCUGGUGCUGGGGGAGAGCAAAAUAUAUAGCUGAGCCUUGGCCUUGCUUCCAUACCUUAGCAAUUCACCUUCUGAUAAACAUUUGAGCUGCUAUGAAAACAAGCUGUGGUGAUGAUGGAGACGUUGUCAGGCGAUGAUAAGGUCUCUUAGGGCAACAGGCUUGGGGAACAGUUGGUAUAUUUGUGCAGUGAUGGUGUUCCUGGAAAUCUGUGGAAAACAUCAUUAUGUAAGUGAGAUGUUAAGGAGUCCAGCAGCAACUGUGUAGCAGAGAGAGAGUACUUGAAUCAAAUACAUGGGAGGAAAGAAAAUAAGCUGCACAAAUUCAGUUGGCAAUCUUAAGAGCCGGACUCUAUAAAAGGCUAUCCAAGGGAUGCUAAAUCUGCAAAGCCAGCUCAGCAAACAGCUGACCUAUCUGACUUGAUCUUGGCUGGGUACCCUUCUGGUGGUCUCCCAGCUAACGUAAGCUGAGCUCAUCAGAAAGCGGCUGCCCAACCUGAUACUGAGACUCUGUGAAUGCUACAACUUAGCCUUAUGAGUGGGAUGCAUCAUCUUAACCAUACCUACUCGUCUAAACUAUUGACUGUGUGGAAUAACGUGGGGAAAAAGUUGGAUUUAAAUCAAUCCCUGCAAAAGAUUUCUUGUUACAUAGGCUACGGAAAAUCCUUUCUCUAUAUUUCUCCUUCUCCCAGGCAGAUGGAGAAGAGCGGAGCAGAUUCUGGCCUCUGGGCCAGUGCUGUCAGUGAGCUCAUUUAUAGGGCUGGGCAGGUUUUGGUGGGCGAAAAGCCAUAUGAUACAAAAGAACCUGCUCCAAAUGGGGUUUUGUUGCUACCAUUGUACUAGGUUCCUUUUUUAUUUCUUCUGUAAUUAAUAAAAAAUAACUACAAUUGUAAUCAUGAUAGAGACUAUUCAGUCUGGGGGGGGGGGAAGUACUUCUGUAUAUGCUGACCUGACUUCAUAUUUUGGGGUGGCAAUAUCUUACCAUGGUGGACAGCAAGAUGGAUUUCUGCUGGUGACAGACUAAAAAUCUUUGGUUAAUUAGGUGUGUUCAUUUCAAAAUAUAUAAUAACUAGGAAAAGACAUGAGAAACCUUAAAUUAGAUCAUGUUAUGCAUAGAGGAUAUAGCAGUCAGUAUUUACCAUUUGCAAUCAAAAAGUAAUCGUAUAUAUUUAAGCAAAUACUGUAAACAAACUCCUGCUUCCCUUCACAGGCAGAGUUCAAGCAGGCAAGUUUGUUUUGUGGCUUUCAGGUGACUUUUAAAAUGUCAAACUUCAUUGCAGUUAGCACUGUUCAAAAAUACACACAAGCAUGCACAAUUAUGUACAAGUAAAUAUAUACUUGUUCAAUUUUCUUAGAAAUUGAAAUGAAAAACAGGUGUUACUCGUAAAUGCUUACAUUUCUCUCCAGACAGCAUUUCCUGGGAUAGGUUAUAUUUUUCUUUAAGACCAUAAGGCAGUUGUUCCAUCUGAAAACCUGACAUUGUUCCAGUUAUUCUGCCUGAACAGCUUCUAUUAAGAGAAGGUUUUUUUAGUGUUCAGUUUCCAUUCCUUUUUAUAAGCUGAAGAACACUGUUGUCAAUCAUUACACCUAUGCAGCUAUUGUCCCUCCCAAACAGCAGAAUCAGAGCUGUUGUGACAGCGUACAUUGUACAUAGAAAUCUUUGCACAAAAGUAAGGGCGGAAAAGAGAAGAUGUACUGGGGGAUUAUAUCCCUUAAUUAAAAGAAGCAAUGCAUCUGAAGUAAUGAUUCCCAAAAUAAAUGCUUAUGAGAACCAUAGCUAUAAAAGAUCCAUAGAUUUUGGUGGUACUUCUUUUUCUGUAUGGUUUUGACCCCACAGUGCUCAGGAGGUCUGCGUAUCUGCAGUGCUACAUGUUCACUGUGGUUACCCAUGAACUAUGUCUUAGUAGGCAAAAGUGCCAGUGAUUGUUAAAGUGAUUUGGGUGGUACAAAAAAAUUGCUCAGUUUUGUAUGCAAAAGAUUUUCUCCAGAGAUGUCAAAAUCUUAGCUGAAUGAAAAGCUGGUGUUUUUGGUGGCUUUAUCUAUAGCUUGAUGUUGUUGGCUCUGCACUGCUAUUCUUACAAUGUCAUCAGAGAUGAAGCAGGGACAGGUAUGAAGAUGUACAAAUAUGCUCAAGAAACUAUGAACUAAGAAAUGCUUUCAGUAGAACCAAUGAUCUCAUCUUUUUCAUGGUGCAUUCACAUGAUAAGGCAAGUGUGCAUGGUAAACUGCACAAAAACUUCACUGUUCUGUGGGAAUAGCAGAGAAAGGAAUUGUGGAGGGCUUCAGCAUGCUCAGCUUCUUUGUUAGUCUGAUGUAUGUAUGAACAGUUCAAAAG
ensembl:lncRNA